rnacentral:lncRNA from 1 species
UCGAUGGGUGUCUUGAGGGUCCAAGUCGGAUGCAUCAAAAAAACACAAAAGCACAAAAACAAAGGUAGAGGACUCCUCCUGAUGAUGGAGCACUUGGACAGUACUCUUGAGGGAAGUAGUCCAUAUAGAUUUUUCAUUUUAUUUUAUUUUUCUUUUUUUAGGUAGUGUAUUAAGUCCCCCUUGGCUUUUCUUUUGACCAUGGUUCUUUUCCAAGGGUUUUUUCUUGAACCGGGUUAGGUAGAUUUUCCUUUUAUAGUGUUAGGACUAAGAUGAGUAAAAGUCUAGAAUGCGACCCCUGAUGUUCACACCUGCAAACAACUAAAAUGAACUUGAGAGUGUAAGGUCUUGGCUUAGUGUGGACUUGUAAAUCUAUGCCUUAAUGUUGCACAUCUUGCCUGAAUGAGUUACAUGCUAAGUGUGUGUGAGAUUCUUACCUGCAUUCUGUGCUUGCAUGCGAUACCUAGAACUUUCCCUGUGUGUUUGCAAAGCGAAAUAGAAGUUGUUAGGUCUUAGGUAUGAUUGAGGUAUUUAUUUGUGUAAGCCUGUUUAAUUGUGACUCCACCUGUAUACAUUGCCGUUAGUUAACCCCUUUGAGCCUGAAGCCUGUUCUUCGAUAAUCCUAUAAUAAAAUAUAUCCUUGAGUUUGAAUAAAUGAUUGUUUGAACUUAUACCUCUUAGAAGUACUUGAAUCACGAAAGAGUAUAUAAAAGUCAAAGUGUGGGGUGGUAGGGAGUUAGAGAAAAUGGGGAAUCAUGAAUGAAUAAUGAUUGGUACACGGGGUUUGUAGAAAAAAAAGUGAAACAAAGAAAACAAAGCAAAAUAAAGAAAAGAAAGAAGUCAGUGCACCUGAAGAAAGUGGGGGUUACAUGUGUAACAAAAAUGUAGAGGGAUGAUUGGGCUGAGCAUGGAAACAAAAAAAAAAAAGAAGUAUGUAUUAAAAUUUCUUAGGGAGGUUAGUCACUACAUCCAAAUGUAUCCUACCCGUCCCUUAGCCUACAUUACAACCGAGUAAAGACCUCUUGAUCUUGGACUAAAACAGCUCGAUUAGUAGAGUACUACACUAGGGGCAAGCUUAUGGUGUGCCUGUGUGGCAUAUGAAUGCUCUUUGCUAAAAGUGAGUGAAUUCUUUCUAAUUUUGGUUCCUUGUGUUUAUAUUUUUUGUCUAUGUGUGUGGAGCUUCUCUCAGACUUUUGAUGUGAGGGCAUGUGACUUAGGAAGGAAAAGUAAGUCUUCACCACAGUUAGAGUAACUAGAGUGAGCUUGCAUGUGUCAUGGCAGUAGAGUCUGCGUCUGGGGUAGGAUUGUUGUACUGCUUAAGUUGGUUUGUCAAAAUGGCUGGUGUAACAUAUUUUCGGCAGUGCAGCAAACAGUUAGGCCUAGAAGUAUGAUUUAGCUUGCUCGAGGACGAGCAAAUGUUUAAGUGUGAGGUGUUGAUAAUAGGUGAAUUUAACUAUAUUCAGGCCCUAAAUAACCACCUUCUUGCAUAGUUUUGAUAAUAAAAGUGAUAAAAAAAAUGCUCUUAUUAGUGCUUUUCAUGAUUUGCAGGUUAUAUAUGACUAGGGAAGGCUAGGGAGUAAUAUUAAAGUCAAAAAAUGAAGACAAAGAGGCCAACUGUGAAAUAUCCCAAGUGAACCACGUGGAAGAAGGCUGAAGAUUCAGAAAUUGGGUGCUGUUGUGGUUCCACCGUGACCACGGUAGAACCGUGGUGGGAGAUAGUUGCAGACAAAUUGAGUAUCAGAGGGGUUGUUUGGCCGCGGUUCUACCGCGACCGCGGCAGAUCCGCGGUAGGCGUGCUGAAGUAUAGGGGCAGUUAUGUCAAAGCGUGUUAGCCCUAAAACCUAUAUUAGUCACUAGAUUUCGCCCAAAGGGGGCAUGCAUUGAAUUUUGAGAGUUCUUGGAAGGAAAAACAAUUGUGAGAGAUUAGCUUAAGCAUAUUUCUUCUUCCCUUUUGAUUUUUAUUGCUAGAUUAUGCUGAAUAUUAAUUUACUUUGUUUACCCAUAGCUAUGAGUAGCUAAUUUUUCUGUCUAAGGUCUUGAUGGAACCUAUUG